rnacentral:rRNA from 1 species
UACGUAGGGGCUAGCGUUAUCCGGAUUUACUGGGCGUAAGGGGUGCGUAGGCGGUCUUUCAAGUCAGGAGUGAAAGGCUACGGCUCAACCGUAGUAAGCUUUUGGAACUGUAAGACUUGAGUACAGGAGAGGAGAGUGGAAUUCCUAGUGUAGCGGUGAAAUGCGUAGAUAUUAGGAGGAACACCAGUAGCGAAGGCGGCUCUCUGGACUGUAACUGACGCUGAGGCACGAAAGCGUGGGGAGCAAACAGGAUUAGAUACCCUGGUAGUCCCUGA